CCCAGUGUUUCAUUUGCUCUUGAUAGGAAAAAACCGAAAUGAAAGUAGAGUUUGGAGGUCAGCUCCUGCUUACCCUUCCCAUGAAUCCCAUUCCCAGCCCAUGCACCAAAAAUAUUUUACAGUCUCAACAAUGUAUCAAAAAUGUAGUAGGCUCUCGUGAGGUAUUGGCCAAAGUUUUUUGACUUACAACCAAGAAAAUUAAGGAAUGUGGACACAAAGGGUGAGGUUAGAAUGAAAGUUUAAUAAGUGAAAGAAGAAAGCUCUCUGUAUUAGGGAGAGGGCCUGAAUGGGUUGUCAACUGUGAGGUUGGGCCUGGGGUGUUUUUAACUGGGAAGGGAAGGAAUGUGUUGACUGGACUUGGAGAAACUGUUACUCAGCUUUGCCUUGGACCUAGGCCCAGCACCAAUUAGAGACUGAAGGGAAUGUUUUGUUCAGAACCUUGGUCCGAGCCCGGGAGCAAUCAGAGGCUGAAGUGGUGAUUCUUAGAGGCUCAGCUCACAGUCAAAAGCAUGUCCAAAAAAGGAAAGGAAAGUGCCCACCGAAACCCCUGUAGCCCGCAGUGUACAUAUCCACAAAAGGAGAAGAGACUAUUUUCUAGAAACCUGUUGGUUAUUCAAAGGACAAAGGCAUUUCUGUGUUGGGUCUUGUUCUCUUAUUAGUGUAGUUGUGGGCAUGUCUUAGGCACAAAGGACAAAGGUGUUUCUGUGUUGGGACUCGUUCUUUUAUCCGAGAGGGCCAGAGACUUGAGUAAGUUUCCUCAUCUGUGUCGGCAGCCUUAUUUUUUCAGACCAUUUCUCUGUUUAAAGGAGUUUUUCCAAGAACCUGACCUAACUGACUAACUUUUUUCUCUCAAUUCCACUCAUUAGGAAAUGAGAAGGGAAGACUUAGGAGGCAUAACGUCCAAUAGGGACUAGAUUGUGCAUCUCAUGGAAUACACUAUUCAGCCAUCCACUCAGUUAAUUGCAGGGAAAUUGAACUGUCACUCUGGUCACUGUGAGGUAAGGCCAGCUUUGGGGUUGCUUUGCAAGAAUUGCUCUAAAAAUGACAGAACAAUGUGCUUAAUCUUGGUAGAACUAUAACAUGAGAUGUCAAUAGAAAACAGCUGUCAGAUGGGGCCAGUUGCUUUUCAAUGAUCCGUUUUAUCCAGUAAGUAUAAGGUGUGUCUAGCAUACGUUAUAUUACGUUUUUACAAUUGAUUCAUAUGGAACGAGAUGUGUUUUUUCCAUGCUCCAGGGUGAAGCCAAUUUCUCUAAUUCAUUUGGGAACAGAAGUUACACUGGAGUUUAGUCAGCGUCCUCAGAGGACAGGUCUAUCACUGAAACUUGCGUCAUCAAAAUUGGAGGAAGAGGCCAGCAAGAAGUGAAAAUGCUGUAGGGAAAAUGCAUUGAUGUUCUCUGAAUUGGGCAGAUCAUCAACUCUUCUUACUCCUGUCUUUUAGGUUUCCAAAAGCCAGGCUGCCGAGGCCACCAAAGUGGCUAUUGAUGUAGGCUUCUGCCAUAUCGAUUCAGCAUACUUGUACCAAAAUGAGGAGGAGGUUGGGCAGGCCACCUGAGAGAAGAUUGCUGAUGGUGUCCUAAAGAGCGAGGACGUAUUCUGCACCACCAAGCUUUGGGCUACUUUCUUUCAGCCAGAAUACGUUCGCCUAGCCCUGGAAAGGUCACUGAAGAAACUUGGACUGGACUAUGUAGACCUCUUCAUUAUUCAUGUACCAUUCGCUAUGAAGGCUCAAAGCUGGCAGGAACCUUGAAUCUGAGAUGAACUUUUGUAGUUUGGAAUUUUAAGUUGGUGCUGGUCCAAGUUACAAGUUUUGGGAACUAUUGGGUUGAAAUGGUUACAUUUUGCAUGUAAGAAGGUUGUGAGGUUCUUGGGCCAAGGGCAUAACGCUGUAAUUGGCAUAUUUGACCCUCCAAACCAUAUGCUGAAUUCUCAAUGUCACUGUUCACUGAUGAUAUGAUCAUUUGAAACCCUAAGGACUCCUUCAGAAAGCUCCUAGAACUGAUAAAAUAAUUUGGCAAAGUUUCUGUAUACAAGAUUGCUGUAAUCAGUAGCUCUUCUAUAUAGCAACAGCCACCAAGUGGAGAAUCAAAUCAAUAAUUUAACCCCUUU